CCCAGGUCAGUUAAGCCUCUUUAAGUAAGUAGCAGGAGGGAUUUAGCCACAAUAAAAGCUGCCCAGGGACUCUUGUCUUCAAGUUAUUCUUAGUUACUGUUGCUUCUGAGUACUCUGUUCCAGUUCACUCUGUCUCUAGAGAAGGUGUCCUUAAUCUGGGAUCUGUGGACUUGGGCUUAUGGACUCCAAGCCCUGCAUUGCCCCUUCUUCCACACUGAUUCACCUGAUUUCCAAGUAUGCGUUGAUUCAGAGACUCCCUGGUCUCACGUUCAUUUCAUCAGCAUCUGGCAGGUAAUCACAGCAUUCUUUCCAGUAAAAAAAAAAGGUUUGGGCUCGGAUUCUGGGGAGCCAAGAUGGUGGAGUGAAAAGGUAGUCACACUCUCACUUUCCCCUGUAAACCUCUGAAAACCCAGAAAAUAUCACCCCAGAAAAAAAGCCCUGGAGCAGCUGAACUAGAAGAAAGACGAGGAGCAGCAGUGCAGCAGCCCAGCAAAUAGGUCUCCCAGUGCCUUAGCAAAAAUAAGGGAGGCAGAACUACAAGGGGCCCCAGGUGGAUAAGCACCCUGGGGCAUUUGUCUGAAAGGAGGUGAAGAAAGCAAUCUAAAGUCUUCCUAAAGCCCUGGCCUUGCUGGUUCCAGCCCAACACCAGGUGAGCUGUCAGAACCCUGCAGCCUCCAAUUGUGAAGAAAUCCUGAAGCCCAGGUGGUGGAACAGGCAAACACCAACACUCAGUGCCUCAGUGUGGGGGGGACCAGUGGAAACCAGCUCAGAAAACCACCAGGUGCUUCAGCAUGCUACCACAAAGGAAUUAGUAGAAAUGAGGGAGACAACACUGCAGGGGCCCCCACGCAGAUAAACACCUUGCACACUCAUCUAAAAGGAGCUGAAAAAAAUCUAAAAGAAAGGAAAAAUAGGCAACCUAGAAUUGCCUUAAAGUUCCAGCCUUGCUGAUUCCAGUCCAACACAAGGAAAGCUGCCAGAACCCUACAGCCUCCAAUUGCCAACAUAAGUGGCCCCAGCACACAAAGCCAGUGACCAAGACCUAGGCUCCCAACACAAGAAGCUUGGGUCAGUGCCUUCUGCCCCAGCAGGAGAGCUCAAUCUCUUUAAAGGCCAG
rnacentral:lncRNA from 1 species